UCCCCGAUAGCUCAGUUGGUAGAAGCAACAGACUGUUAAUCUGUGGGUCGCUGGUUCGAGUCCAGCUCGGGGAGCCA
rnacentral:tRNA from 1 species